UACGUAGGGGGCAAGCGUUGUCCGGAAUCAUUGGGCGUAAAGCGCGCGUAGGCGGCCCGGUAAGUCCGUUGUGAAAGUCAAAGGCUACAACCUUUGGAACUGCCCGAUGGAUACUGCCGGGCUAGAGUCCGGGAAGAGGCGAGUGGAAUUCCUGGUGGUAGCGGUGGAAUGCGCAGAGUAUCAGGAGGAACACCAAUAGCGAAGGCAGCUCGCUGGGGACGGUAACUGGACGCUGAGGCGCUGAAAGCGUGGGGGAGCAAACAGGA
rnacentral:rRNA from 1 species